rnacentral:rRNA from 1 species
AGAGUUUGAUCCUGGCUCAGAACGAACGUUAGCGGCGCGCCUAAUACAUGCAAGUCGUGCGAGAAAGGGCUUCGGCCCCGGUAAAGCGGCGCACGGGUGAGUAACACGUAGGCAAUCUGCCCUCGAGUGGUGGAUAACCUUCCGAAAGGAGGGCUAAUACAGCAUGAGACCACGGGUUCGCAGAACCUGAGGUCAAAGCGGACCUCUUCAUGAAAGUUCGCGCUCGAGCGAUGAGCCUGCGGCCCAUCAGCUAGUUGGUAGGGUUACGGCCUACCAAGGCUAAGACGGGUAGCUGGUCUGAGAGGACGAACAGCCACACUGGAACUGAGACACGGUCCAGACUCCUACGGGAGGCAGCAGUAGGGAAUCUUGCGCAAUGGGCGAAAGCCUGACGCAGCGACGCCGCGUGAGCGAUGAAGGCCUUCGGGUUGUAAAGCUCUGUGGGGAGAGACGAAUAAGGUGCAGCUAAUACCUGCAUCGAUGACGGUAUCUCUUUAGCAAGCACCGGCUAACUCUGUGCCAGCAGCCGCGGUA